rnacentral:rRNA from 1 species
AACUCAAAGGAAUUGACGGGGACCCGCACAAGCGGUGGAUGAUGUGGAUUAAUUCGUUGCUACACGAAGAACCUUACCUAGGUUUGACAUAUAGGUUGUAGGGAACUGAAAAGGGACCGACCCUUCGGGGAGCCUAUACAGGUGUUGCAUGGCUGUCGUCAGCUCGUGUCGUGAGAUGUUCGGUUAAGUCCGCUAACGAGCGCAACCCUCGUCGUAUGUUACAAGUGUCAUACGAGACUGCCGGUAAAAAGUCGGAGGAAGGUGAGGAUGAUGUCAAGUCAGCAUGACCUUUAUAUCUAGGGCUACACACACGCUACAAUGGUCUGUACAAUGGGUUGCCAAGCCGCGAGGCGGAGCCAAUCCUAAAAAGCAGGCCUCAGUUCAGAUUGCAGUCUGCAACCCGACUGCAUGAAGCCGGAGUUGCUAGUAACCGCAGGUCAGCAAUACUGCGGUGAAUACGUUCCCGGGUCUU